GAUGAACGCUGGUGGCGUGCUUAACACAUGCAAGUCGAACGGAAAGGCCCAAGCUUGCUUGGGUACUCGAGUGGCGAACGGGUGAGUAACACGUGGGUGAUCUGCCCUGCACUUCGGGAUAAGCCUGGGAAACUGGGUCUAAUACCGGAUAGGACCACAUUUUGGAUGGUGUGGUGGAAAGUUUUUCGGUGUGGGAUGAGCUCGCGGCCUAUCAGCUUGUUGGUGGGGUAAUGGCCUACCAAGGCGUCGACGGGUAGCCGGCCUGAGAGGGUGUACGGCCACAUUGGGACUGAGAUACGGCCCAGACUCCUACGGGAGGCAGCAGUGGGGAAUAUUGCACAAUGGGCGCAAGCCUGAUGCAGCGACGCCGCGUGGGGGAUGACGGCCUUCGGGUUGUAAACUCCUUUCGCUAGGGACGAAGCGUUUUUGUGACGGUACCUGGAGAAGAAGCACCGGCUAACUACGUG
rnacentral:rRNA from 1 species